GGAGGCCGAAGUGUCGUGCCAUACGUCUGUCAGCUGUCUGGUCACCUGUCUGAAGCCCCAAGUGUCGCGCCAUUCGUCUGCCGGCUGUCUGGGGUUAAUGACAUAAAAACCUAGUAGCUUCCUAGUGCUUCACAACAUCACGGCCGCUGUGUGAGACCUUUGUGCUUUGAGCGUCCUACCUUAGGCAGUAUCUUAUUGGUGCCAUCAAGCCCGGAUCAACUGCAAAUGCAUGUUCAUGGUGGGACUUAUCCUGGUGACCGGUGAGAGGUUGUCCGAAGCCAUCUCCACGUCUUGCUGUACGGUGACGUCCAGAAAGAUCGGUGCUCGUGUGUACACCCUACCAGCGGACCUGAAACUAAGUUAAGUUCUGUUUUGUCUUACGGGGUGUAAAACGGAAAUAUGUCUUAGAUAUGGGAAGGGGACUAAUUUGUCAUCGGCAUGAUAGGAAGUAAUAGAUAAAUUGCGAGGUUGCUUUAAUUGAACAAUCUCUUGGUUGAUGGUAAGGUGCGUGAGUGUGUUUUGUUGACAUGCCGGGCGAUGUUGCCGGUACGUAUUAGAUAUUUUUGUUAAUUGAUGCUCCUUUUGCAUUUCCGGCCGGCUUCAGUCCGUUUCUGUGUUGUCCAGGCCUGGUGUGUGGCUGGUUUGGUUUCUGUGAAUGUUUCGAUGGCCGGGAUUGUAUUCGGUCAGUUACUGUUAAUUCUGUUCUUUACAAACAGGGUCUUCCCUGGUUCACCAUCUGUUGUCAUUUCUGUUUUAUGUCAUGGUCAGUGGUAGUCGGGAACCUAGACCAUUACAUAAUCUGCCUCGUGUUGUUUUGUUGGGUCCCGAACCAAGAGAACGACACAGGCCAGAAAGGAAGACAGGUGGCUGAAGAGCCAAUUCAAUAUUAGUAGUAUAUUUCUUUAGAAACACUAUCGGCGUCGACACAGUUACAGAAACUGAAUCAGCUAUUCAUUUGGGCUUGUAUAACGUAGAAACAGACUGAAGAAAUGUGUAACGUUACAAAAGUCAACAUUGCUCUCGAAAAUUAAACCAAAACAAAUUUAUAAACGGCAUCAUUACUUGGGAUUUCAUCAAAGCGCACUCAACACCCUGCCACCAAACGAGAGAUCAUGUUUCGCUAUUUCUAUGUUAAACCUAGAACUGAAAUUAUAAUCACAAACCAAGUUAACUUCCUGUCAUGCCCCAUACGCGUAGUUAAGCUCUAUCUAUGAAUUAGGUAUAGUCUCUCAUAUUUCUGAGUCAAGUUUUAAUUUUUGUCUCGUCUUUUCUUCCGAUCGAGGAUCAUCGCACCACACCGUAGGAAGAAAUGUCUGGACGUGGAAAGGAUGGCAAGGACGAGCGAUGGAUGGAAGAUGCCGAACGUUAACAGUCUUCCCACACAAAUAGACAGAAAUGUCUAGACGUAGUAUGCGAGGGACGGAGCUGGAGAAUGGAUGUGAAAGUCACCGGCGUACUGAAACUGCUUCGUGACAACAUCCGGUGUGUCACCCAGCCAAGGGGGCACGAGUCCUCGAGACAUAGACAAGCAAUGUCUGAACGUGCAAAGGGAAUGGUGGGCAAGGGAAGAGCUACAGACACUGACUGUGCUAGACACAACAUCCAGAGAGAGAUCAGA